GACGAACGCUGGCGGCGUGCUUAACACAUGCAAGUCGAACGGAAAGGCCCUGCUUUUGUGGGGUGCUCGAGUGGCGAACGGGUGAGUAACACGUGAGUAACCUGCCCUUGACUUUGGGAUAACUUCAGGAAACUGGGGCUAAUACCGGAUAGGAGCUCCCGCUGCUGGGUGGGGGUGGGAAAGUUUCGGCGGUUGGGGAUGGACUCGCGGCUUAUCAGCUCGUUGGGGGGGUAGUGGAAUACCAAGGCUUGGACGGGUAGCCGGCCUGGGAGGGUGACCGGCCACGCUGGGACUGGGAUACGACCCGGACUCGUACGGGAGGCAGCGGUGGGGGGUGUUACACAAUGGGCGGAGGCCUGGUGCGGCAACGCAGCGUGGGGGAAGUCGGGCUGCGGGUUGGAAUCCGCUUUCGUCUGUGACGAAGCGUGAGUGACGGUACCGGGUAAAGAAGCACCGGCUAACUACGUG
rnacentral:rRNA from 1 species